rnacentral:rRNA from 1 species
UGAACGCUGGCGGCGUGCCUAAUACAUGCAAGUCGUACGAGGGAAGGUCCAGCUUGCUGGACGGAACGAGUGGCGAACGGGUGAGUAAUACGUAAGCAACCUGCCUGCAAGGACUGGGAUAACACCUGGAAACGGGCGCUAAUACCGGAUAGGUAACAAAGGGGCAUCCCUAUGUUAUUAAAGGUUAGAAACACAAGCAGAUGGGCUUACGGUGCAUUAGCUAGUUGGUGAGGUAACGGCCCACCAAGGCGAUGAUGCAUAGCCGGCCUGAGAGGGUGAACGGCCACAUUGGGACUGGGACACGGCCCAGACUCCUACGGGAGGCAGCAGUAGGGAAUUUUCGGCAAUGGACGAAAGUCUGACCGAGCAACGCCGCGUGAGUGAAGAAGGUUUUCGGAUUGUAAAGCUCUGUUGUAAGGGAAGAACAGCACGGAAAGAAUCCGUGAAUGACGGUACCUUACCAGAAAGCCACGGCUAACUACGUGCCAGCCGCUGC